AGCCAUUUUGUCUGCUCCUCUUCCUGUUCCUCAUAGGAAAGCAGGGGUGCCAGAGCAGAGACAUGUCAGAUCCCAACACCUGAACAUCCGGACUCUGAACGCGUGCAGAGGGCUCUCUCUUUUCUUCCAGUCUUUUCUUCCCAAAUCCACAUGCUGUUGGUUUUGAGAACAUAUUAUUCCCCCUGCCCGCCCAUCCCUGGUUAAGGGGCUCCUAAUCAUUGAUGAUUGGAGUCAGACAUUCAUUGAUAAGGUGGCUGGAAAUGAGUGGUUGAUUUUCUAACACAGAACAACAAAUGGUUUGUCGACUCCAUUGCUCUAGGCUGGGUGUCUUUUGUGUUGUUGCAGGGACAGGAGCAAACGGAUCCGUCUCCGGGCCAAAUCCCUGGCGGGCAGAGAGGACAGGCCGUCGCUUGCAUCUCCACCCUGUGACCUUCGCUGAAGAAUCUGUGGGGAGGUGGCUGUGCAUUUCAACCAGGGGAGCAAGGGUGUGCUGGACUGAGGCCAGACAGCUCCGCAGAAAGACGUCAUGCUGGAGGCUGAAGGGAACGAGGCCUCUCCAGAAGAAGAAGAUACAAACCAGUGAACUCCAGCAGGAUCGUACAGGAUGCAGCUUAUCU